AAAAGGGCAUGGUCGAAGCCCAUGUUGCUGGGUUGCCACGACAUUAGUCCCCAUGUCGCUCCGUUCCUCCAUGACGUCCUACGGAAGCAUGGCAAGACGUGUGUGUCGUGGCUUGGCCCGACCCCAAAGGUAACCAUUGUAGACCCUAGCCUAGCCAAGGAGGUGAUGUCCAACAAGUUCGGCCAUUUCGAGAAGCUCAGGUUCCCGGCGCUGUCGAUGUUGCUUGCCAAAGGUGUGGCGGACUACGCGGGCCAGAAAUGGGCCAAGCAUAGGAGGAUCCUCAACCCCGCAUUUCAUCUCGAGAAGCUCAAGCUCAUGCUACCUGCGUUUUCUGCGUGCUGUGAAGAGCUUGUUGGUAAAUGGAUGCGGUCCCUUGACCCUAACAACUCAUGCGAGUUGGAUGUCUAUCCAGAACUUCAGAGCCUCACCGGAGAUGUCAUUUCUCGCAUUGCAUUCGGGAGUAGCUACCUUGAUGGAAGGGAGAUUUUCCAGCUGCAAUCCGAGCAAGCCGAGCGCCUCUUGACCAACCUGAAGAAGAUUAUCAUUCCUGGUUACACAUUCUUGCCUACAAGAAACAAUCGAAGGAUGCAUCAAAUUAACAGAAAGAUUGAAUCCAUUUUGCGUACUCUAACUGAGAAGAGAAUGAAAGCAAUGCAAGAAGGAGAAAGCACCAAAGAUGACUUACUCGGUCUAAUGCUCCAUUCAAGCAUGACUGCCACAAAUGAAAAUAGUCAAUCCAUCCCGGGAAUGACAAUUGAAGAGGUCAUACAGGAAUGCAAGCUAUUUUAUUUUGCAGAAUCAGAGACAACAUCAGUAUUACUCACAUGGACAAUGAUAGUACUAAGUAUGCACCCAGAGUGGCAAUACCGUGCAAGGAACGAGAUCCUUGGCAUAUUUGGGAAGAACAAACCUGAGUACGAGGGCUUUGGUCGACUCAAAACGGUGACCAUGAUUCUAUAUGAGGUUCUUCGGCUAUACCCACCGGCCAUCACAUUCAUUCGAAAGACAUGCAAGGAUAUGAAGAUCGGAGGCAUCGCAUACCCAGCCGGCAUCCUCAUCGAACUACCCGUGUUGUUCAUCCACCACGAUCUUGAAAUUUGGGGCAACGAUGCGCUUGAGUUCAAUCCGGAGAGGUUUGUCGAGGGGAUCUCCAAGGCAUCCAAGGAUGCGGGUGCAUUCCUCCCAUUCGGUUGGGGGCCACGGGUCUGCAUCGGCCAGCAAUUUGCGCUUCUUGAGGCCAAGAUGGCAAUGUGUAUGAGUCUUCAACAUUUUGAGUUCAGCCUUGCACAGGCAUACACUCAUGCACCGCACAAUGUGACAUUUUUGCGUCCGAUGCAUGGUGCUCAAAUUAAGCUCUGCGCGAUUUGA
rnacentral:rRNA from 1 species